AACAAGCAACAAUAAACAGUGUUUAAUAGAGGCCAGCCAAUCCAGUCAGGCAAAAAGAGAAUAGCUGGGGUAGCGUCUAUCAUUCUGACUGAAUGGCCAGUAACAUUCAAAUUGUAGCCAUUCCUUCACAAGGGUAUUUGCAGCAGCUUUAUACUCAGCUCCAUUAGAACAAUUAUAAUUCUCUGUGUAACAAGAUCACAUACUGAAAUUCAAUGAGUUUGUCUCUGAACUCAUUCAGCCUUAUAAGAAGGUCAUACUUUGGCACAUUGAGAACACUAGAGGCCGGCAUUCAAAGAUUUGGCUAUUUGAAGGUGCUUUGAGAAUAACUGCACACAAUACAGCAUGGCAACACAUGCUCUCAGGACAUAUGAAGCAGAUGGAGGAUAAUCUGCAUUAUGGUGUCACAGGAACAGCAGCAUAAGGCUACCAGAAAUCUGAAAUUGGAUGAAGACUUGCAGCAGAGGUCCUAUUUCUGAAUGUCGU